UACGUAGGGUGCAAGCGUUAAUCGGAAUUACUGGGCGUAAAGCGUGCGCAGGCGGUUUAGUAAGACAGAUGUGAAAUGCCCGGGCUUAACCUGGGAACUGCAUUUGUGACUGCUAGGCUAGAGUGUGUCAGAGGGGGGUAGAAUUCCACGUGUAGCAGUGAAAUGCGUAGAUAUGUGGAGGAAUACCGAUGGCGAAGGCAGCCCCCUGGGAUAACACUGACGCUCAUGCACGAAAGCGUGGGGAGCAAACAGG
rnacentral:rRNA from 1 species